GGGGCUGUGGGCCAACUUGGUUAAGCUUUGCGCUUAGGGAGCGUAAGAUCCUGGUUCAAAUCCAGGCAGCCUCA
rnacentral:tRNA from 1 species